GGGUGCGAUCAUACCAGCACUAAUGCACCGGAUCCCAUCAGAACUUCAAAGUUAAGCGUGCUUGGGCGAGAGUAGUACUAGGAUGGGUGACCUCCUGGGAAGUCCUCGUGUUGCAUUCC
rnacentral:rRNA from 2 species